rnacentral:tRNA from 1 species
UAGUUUAACGGUCAGAAUACGCGCUUGUCACGCGCGUGAUCGGGGUUCGAUUCCCCG